CUUCAUGAAGAACAUAAUACACAAAUCUACCCCUUCUCACUAACAACGCCAAGGAUUUCCCUUCUACACUGGCUUCUCGCAGACCUUAUUGUUGGACAUAUGAUUUGACAACGAAAACUACCCUACAUCUUUCUUUCAUAAGGUACACUGUAGCUGUCUUCAGAUGCACCAGAAGAGGACAUCAGAUCUCAUUACAGGUGGUUGUGAGCCACCAUGUGGUUGCUGGGAUUUGAACUCAGGACCUUCGGAAGAGCAGUCAGUGCUCUUACCCGCUGAGCCAUCUCGCCAGCCCAAAGAGUAUAUUCUUAAUGAUAUGUUACUUGAGUGUAUUAAGUAAAUAUCUGUAUCUGUUGAGUAACUUUGAGAUUUUUUUUCUAUAUUAUCUAGGAAAAUGUCUAACCUGAAGAAAAACUUUUGAAUAAAAAUCAG
ensembl:lincRNA Gm43057 predicted gene 43057